GUGCCAGCCGCCGCGGUAAUACGGAGGGUGCAAGCGUUGUUCGGAAUUAUUGGGCGUAAAGGGCGUGUAGGUGGCACUCCAAGUCUGGUGUGAAAGCCCACGGCUCAACCGUGGAACUGCAUUGGAAACUGGGGAGCUCGAGUGUUGGAGGGGGUCGCGGAAUUCCCGGUGUAGAGGUGAAAUUCGUAGAGAUCGGGAGGAACACCAGUGGCGAAGGCGGCGACCUGGCCAAUCACUGACACUGAGACGCGAAAGCGUGGGGAGCAAACAGGAUUAGAUACCCUAGUAGUCC
rnacentral:rRNA from 1 species